UUCGGUGGUUAUAGCAGUGGGGUCACACCUGAUCUCAUCUCGAACUCAGAAGUUAAGUCCACUUGCGCCGAUGGUACUGCACGGGUAACUGUGUGGGAGAGUAGGUCACCGCCGGGA
rnacentral:rRNA from 1 species